AUUAUUUUUUUUAAUUUUUAAAUAUUUGAAAUUAACUUUAAAAAUACAAAAUUAUCUAAUAUAAUUUAUCAUCUUCUCCACCACAAAUCCAAAUCUGAAUUCAUCAUCUUCUUCAUCACCAUAAAUCCAAAUAUAAUUCAUCAUAGUAAUCAGAUUUAGCCGAAAUACAAAUCUAAUUCAUCAUAUUCUUUACCACAAAUCCAAAUCCAAAAUAAUUCGAAAUCAAAAAUCUGAAACUACAUUUCUUCUUCUUCACCACCACCAAGAUCCAAAAUUUAAAAUAAUCCGAAAUCAAAUCUACAUGCUUGGACUCACAUACUUGGACUCAUCACUACCCCUUUCAGAUUCGCCGAGUAAGUCCGGUCACAUACUUGGACUCACCACUACCAAAAUACACCGUCCCCGCCGCCGCCACGUCCUCUGCCGUCGGCACAACCCCAACCCAGAUCCAGAUCUUAACUUUGAUUUCCACCGAUUUCUGAUUGUUUUUCUCCUCUUUUGAUCCUCUGUUUUGAAGAAACAGAUUUCGGGCUCCCCUAUUCCUCUGUUUUGAAUAACAUGGCA
rnacentral:lncRNA from 1 species